rnacentral:antisense_RNA from 1 species
UAAUCAGGAAGGAAAUUAGGCAGCCCAAGGAGGCAGGAGACAAGGCCCCCCCCCAGCCCCCAGCCAUCCCCACCAAUGCGGUUGCCCACAGGAUAUCACUGCCCCCAUCCCGGGGCCCACCAUUACCAGUAGGGAGAGGGAGGCAGAGAAGAAAGCACGCAGCCAAACAGUGUAAAGAGGCUCAGAGGAGGCCUGGGUGCCCUGGAGAGGCCCUGCGUCGCACAGCAUCCCUGUCCUGCAGUGGAGGUUUCCCAGAUGAAGGGGUCCCCGGCGGGAGACAGGGCCCUGCACACAGGUCCUCUGCCACGCUGCUCACCAUGCUGUGCGUUAUCUCACUAUGAAAAGUCACCUAGGCCGAGCACGGUGGCUCGCGCCUGUAAUCCCGGCACUUUGGGAGGUGGAGGUGUGCGGAUCACUUGAGAUCAGGAGUUUGAGACCAUCCUGACUAACAUGGUGAAACCCCGUCUCUAGGAAGAAUACAAAAAUUAACUGGG